UAAUUCCCCAGCUCGGGCGGCUUGAAACUGCUCGGGCUGAAUAGCAUUUGCUGUUCCGUCCUCCGGCCGCCUCCCGCCGCCGCUGCCGCGGUCUCUGCAAAGCAGCUCUCCUGAUCCCGGAAGUUGUGCUGACACAGUCUCGCUGCCACCCGAAGUUUGUCAACAUCAAACUUCUCCUGUGCGUGCUGGACAAGGUGCCUUUUCUGAGUUGUUCAGUUUUAGACACUCAGUGUGAGCUCUAAACAUGAGGAAGCAAUUGCUUUUUACAGUGAUACGAGCUCUGUGCUCAUCUGGAUUUAGUUACUUCAUAAGGUAAAUAUUCCUAAAUGUGCUUUGGGAUCUUUGGGGACAUAAGGCAAGGUACAGACAGAAAAUAGUGUAUGGUGAAAUGCUUGAGGAUGUCAAACAACCUGAUGCUUUUACAAAAGUAAUCAGUUCACUGAAAGUAUCUUGGAAUUGUUGUUUAAUUUUAAAAUAAUAAAACGUUUUCAAUUUGUCUCA
rnacentral:lncRNA from 1 species